GUGGGCGUUGGAAGAUUGAAGGGGGCUGCUCCUAGUACGAGAGGACCGGAGUGGACGAACCUCUGGUGUUCGGGUUGUGUCGCCAGACGCAUUGCCCGGUAGCUAAGUUCGGAAUCGAUAACCGCUGAAAGCAUCUAAGCGGGAAGCGAGCCCUGAGAUGAGUCUUCCCUGAUACUUUAAGUAUCCUAAAGGGUUGUCGGAGACUACGACGUUGAUAGGUCAGGUGUGUAAGUGCUGUGAGGCAUUGAGCUAACUGAUACUAAUUGCCCGUGAGGCUUAACCAUACAACACCCAAGGGGUUU
rnacentral:rRNA from 1 species